rnacentral:lncRNA from 10 species
CCGGAACUCGUGGCCGCGCUCGCCUUGGUGCGCCUGGGCCACAGGAGGAGGCUGCUGGGGCCGCUCUGCCGCCGCACCUCCCUGAAGGAGAUCCGGGGGCAGUGGGGAUGCUAAGGAUGCAGCGCCGGAGAGGCAGGUGGCGGCCCCUGCGAAGAGGUGGUCCCCGCAAAGCACACGGAGACCACGAGGUUCCUUGUCGCCCACUCACAGCAAUGCUGCACGAGCAGGCCCAGCUCCAUGAUGAUGCCUCUCUCCAGAGACCUCCUGACCUCCUGACCUGCACAGCCCGGGAGACCACAGCCCACAGCCGCUGCCCCAGGUGUCCACAAGCAUCUCAGCCCCUCCACAGCCCACGCAUCUCCUCUUUCAUUGGCUCAUGGGGAGUGAAGGACAAUGUCUGAAUUAAAUGCCGUGCUUUAAACUGAAAGGGAAACUUAGCAAAUAAAUGAGAGUAACAACACUAGAUCAUUGGCCAGUGUGGUUGCAAUUCUUCCUUUCCCUCCAGAUUUCUGUUUAACCUUUAAAUCUCAUUUCGGCAUGCCUCUUGGUCCUCCUUGGAUUGAUAUUAAGUUGUACACAGGCUACUUCUUGUAAGACGAUGAGAACUCUUGCCGAUAUUUUACAACGUCUUACUCUGAACUUUCCCCUAUUCUUUCUGCCUAGAUGCAUUAUUUUCAGGAAAUCUAUGUUGUAAGACAGAGGUAGGCAAACCAGGGUUGCGGGCCAAGUCCUUCCCACAGCCUGUUUUUGUAAAUAAAGUUUUAUUGGAAUGCAGCCAAGCUUGUUCAUUUACACAUCAUCUAUGGCUGCUUCUGUCCUGCCAUAGCACUGUUGAGUAGUUGCGACAGAGACCACGUGACCUGCAAAGCCCAAAAUAUUUACUAUCUGACCCAUUACAGAAAACGUUGCCAAUAUCCUGUCGUAAGAUAUGCUGAAAUGUUUAAUUCUUUGAGGACUGGGGCACAAAAUUAUGUAUUUUUUUAAUCCACCAUGCUAAAAGAAGGAAAAUUCAUUUACUGUAAUAUGUCCUG